UACAGAGGUCCCAAGCGUUGUUCGGAUUCACUGGGCGUAAAGGGUGCGUAGGUGGCUUUGCAAGUCUGAUGUGAAAUCUCCGGGCCCAACCCGGAAAUGGCAUUAGAAACUGCAGGGCUAGAGGCUUGGAGGGGGAACUGGAAUGCUCGGUGUAGCAGUGAAAUGCGUAGAGAUCGAGCGGAACACCAGUGGCGAAGGCGAGUUCCUGGACAAGUCCUGACACUGAGGCACGAAAGCUAGGGGAGCAAACAGG
rnacentral:rRNA from 1 species